CUAGUUUCAGACUGAGCUAUUCUGUGUUUGUACUGUGAAAUGUGUGUCUCUGUGAACAGUGUUAAUGGUUUUGUUUGUCUACAUGCUGUAGAUAUAACUGUGAGUCUACUGCUUUCUGUUAAGUCAUGUGUAUAAUGUUUGUGUUCCUGUGUGGAUUCCAAUGGUUUAUGUCAGAGGAAGAACUUCAGCACUUUUCUAACCCUCAUGGUCUGGCUGCUCACAGCCCAGGAAGUCCCAGCUCUGGACAACAAGACGACAGAUUUGACAUUGAUCCAUGCCAAGAACCUGUGGAAACCAAGCACUUAUUUCUUGAAAACAUCCCACUUGCCCCCCUGGAGGUUGAGAAUCAAGGAGAUGUUACAUACAAGGAGCCGAAAACUACAGACUCCAGCCUACCAAAACAUACAGCAAAACUGGAACAAGACAAAGUGAGUCAUCUACCAGAUACUACACCAAAAGAGGGAUGCCAAAAAGAAGAGAAAAAUGAGCGGAAAUUGCUUAAUAGUAGAGGGCGGGAAGAGAAGAACACCAAAGAGCCAGAUGUAUACACCUUCCCAGGAGACUCUGAGCCAGAGAGUCCACCGCCUGGACCUUGGGCGCAAUGCACCUUCAUCCAGCGCCGAAGAAAAAAGAGGGCCAUAUUGAGGCCUUUCUCUGGCUUAGACACUUGGCAACGCACAACGGGAGCCGGCAGAAGGACCAGAGGAAAACCCUCUGGAGCACAGGAGCGUAGGAAAACCACAAAGGUUGGGGAAAGGAUGUUCAAACUUAAAGAGGAAAAGGAAGAGAAGAUACGAGGAAGGCAGAGGUCAGUAGUAGAUCACCA
rnacentral:lncRNA from 1 species